UGAAGAAGCUGUAGAGAUCUGCUCCUCUGUCUGCAAAAGAAGACAAGUCUGCAAAUUAAGUCAGCAACUUGGAAGAAAGCUGCAUCUUCAUGGAUGAGAGAGCGUGGAAGCUCUUGGCUCUCGUGCGCGGCAGCAGAAUGAAGAUGUCACUUGUGACAAACUGGCUACUGUUGUGAGCACUCGGCCCAUCACUUACACUGUCAGUGUGUUUGUUUAUAUACAUCCAUGUUCUUGUGAACUCGGGAAUGCCUGGAAUCUGAGAUCUACAGCCACCCUGAGACUUCAGUCAUAAACCGUGAAGCCUCGAAGAGCGUGACUCCAUCCUAACAAUAAUCCUGGAGAUCCUACAGCACAUACAGUGGCUGAUAAGGUGAUAAGGCCAAUUAGAGCUCAUUUUUGCCCAGACCUCAGUGUCAUCCCCGUUAUUGAACACUACGGCAGCAGGUGACAAGGUGAGUAAUAUCAGGCAGCUGUAAGCCACCAGGGAGGGUGUCUCACACAAUUUCUCCCCCCAGAGAGUCGCCCCGCUCCCCUAAGCCACACCGCAGGCUCUGUUAAAUGUCAGACACCUCCACAGUUGAAGCCUUAAUAUCAGACAGCGGGACCGGGACAAAAGAUCAACUUGGAGUGCUAUGAAAGGAUAAUAACUAUUGUAGCUAAAAAUGCUUGCUUUUCUGCUCUAAUGAGACAGAGAGCACAGCUUUAAAGCUCACGGUUAAGGCCUAAUUAAUCACUGUUCGUGGCAGUCUCCUGCGGAUAUCCAUUAGAGUUUUAUUUCA